CACAUCAAACCAGUACUACUGAAUAUCAAUACAGACUUUUGUUCCAGCCCAGCACUAACUCUGUACUUGCAAAUUCAACAUAUUACAAGAGGAAAAGUGAAGCAGUCAGUGUGAGGAGGGAAUCAGGGCUGGGAGGCUGAAUCUAUGGAUACUGGGUGGCUGAAACUAUGGAUACUGGGAGGCUGAAACUAUAGUUGCUGGGUGGUUGGGAGGCUGAAACUAUAGUUGCUGGGUGGUUGGGAGGCUGAAACUAUAGUUGCUGGGUGGUUGGGAGGCUGAAACUAUGGAUGCUUGGUGGUUGGGAGGAUGAAACUAGGGAUGCUGGGUGGUUGGGAGGCUGAAACUAUGGAUGCUGGGUGAUUGGGAGGAUGAAACUAUGGUUGCUGGGUGGUUGGGAGGCUGAAACUAUAGUUGCUGGGUGGUUGGGAGGAUGAAACUAUGGAUGCUGGGUGGUUGGGAGGAUGAAACUAUGGAUGCUGGGUGGUUGGGAGGAUGAAACUAUGGAUGCUGGGUGGUUGGGAGGCUGAAACUAUGGAUGCUGGGUGGUUGGGAGGCUGAAACUAUGGAUGCUGGGUGGUUGGGAGGAUGAAACUAUGGAUGCUGGGUGGAUGAAACUAUGGAUACUGGGUGGCUGGGAGGUAUAAACUAUGGAUGAUGGGAGGCUAGGAGGCAGAAACUAUGCAUACUGGGCUGUUGGGAGGCAGAAACUAUGUAUACUGGGUGGCUGGGAAGCUAAAACAAUGGAUCCCUGGAGGCUGAAACGAUGUAUUCUGGGUUGCUGAGAGGCUGAAACUAUGUAUACUGGGUGGCUGGGAUGUUGAAACUAGGGUUGCUGGGAGGCUGAGAGAGAGGCUGAAACUAUGUAUACUGGGUGGCUGGGAUGUUGAAACUAGGGUUGAUGGGAGGCUGAGAGAGAGGCUGAAACUAUGUAUACUGGGUGGCUGGGAUGUUGAAACUAGGGUUGCUGGGAGGCUGAGAGAGAGGCUGAAACUAUGUAUACUGCGUGGCUGUGAUGCUGAAACUAUGGAUGCUGGGUGGCUGUGAUGUUGAAACUAUGGAUGCUGGGUGGCUGGGAGGGUGAAAUGGUGGAUACUGGGAAGCUGAAAGUAUGGAUACUGGGUGGCUGGGAGGCUGAGACUAUGGAUACGAGUGGCUGGGAGGCUGAAACUAUGGAUACUGGGUGGCUGGGAGGCUGAAACUAUGGAUACGAGUGGCUGGGAGGCUGAAACUAUGGAUACUGGGUGGCUGGGAGGCUGAAACUAUGGAUACUGGGUGGCUGGGAGGCUGAAACUAUGGAUACUGGGUGGCUGGGAGGCUGAAAGUAUGGAUACUGGGUGGCUGGGAGGCUGAAACUAUGGAUACUGGGUGGCUGGGAGGCUGAAAGUAUGGAUACUGGGUGGCUGGGAGGCUGAAACUAUGGAUACGAGUGGCUGGGAGGCUGAAACUAUGGAUACUGGGUGGCUGGGAGGCUGAAACUAUGGAUACGAGUGGCUGGGAGGCUGAAACUAUGGAUACUGGGUGGCUGGGAGGCUGAAACUAUGGAUACUGGGUGGCUGGGAGGCUGAAACUAUGGAUACUGGGUGGCUGGGAGGCUGAAACUAUGGAUACGAGUGGCUGGGAGGCUUAAACUAUGGAUACGAGUGGCUGGGCGGUUGAAACUAUGGAUACGAGUGGCUGGGAGGUUGAAACUAUGGAUACGAGUGGCUGGGAGGUUGAAACUAUGGAUACGAGUGGCUGGGAGGUUGAAACUAUGGAUACGAGUGGCUGGGAGGUUGAAACUAUGGAUACGAGUGGCUGGGAGGUUGAAACUAUGGAUACGAGUGGCUGGGAGGCUUAAACUAUGGAUACGAGUGGCUGGGAGGUUGAAACUAUGGAUACGAGUGGCUGGGAGGUUGAAACUAUGGAUACGAGUGGCUGGGAGGUUGAAACUAUGGAUACGAGUGGCUGGGAGGUUGAAACUAUGGAUACGAGUGGCUGGGAGGUUGAAACUAUGGAUACGAGUGGCUGGGAGGCUUAAACUAUGGAUACGAGUGGCUGGGAGGUUGAAACUAUGGAUACGAGUGGCUGGGCGGUUGAAACUAUGGAUGCUGCUUGUUUGGAAGUCUUAUUAAACCUACUCUAGGAGGCUGUGAGGCUGAAAGUAACUCUGGGUGGCUAGGAGGCUGAAAGUAACUCUGGGUGGCUAGGAGGCUGAAAGUAACUCUGGGUGGCUAGGAGGCUGAAAUGGAUUUAUUUAUCUGUUAUUUUACCAGGUAAGUUGACUGAGAACACGUUCUCAUUUGCAGCAAAGACCUGGGGAAUAGUUACAGGGGAGAGGAGGGGGAUGAAUGAGCCAAUCGUAAACUGGGGAUUAUUAGGUGACCAUGAUGGUUUGAGGGCCAGAUUGGGAAUUUAGCCAGGACACCAGGGUUAACACCCCUACUCUUACGAUAAGUGCCAUGAGAUCUUUAAUGACCUCAGAGAGUCAGGACACCCGUUUAACGUCUCAUCCGAAAGACAGCACCCAACACAGGGCAGUGUCCUGGGGCAUUGGGAUAUUUUUUUUUUAGACCAGAGGAAAGAGUGCCUCCUACUGACCCUCCAACACCACUUCCAGCAGCAUCUGGUCUCCCAUCCAGGAACUGACCAAGACCAACCCUGCUUAGCUUCAGAAGCAAGCCAGCAGUGGUAUGCAGGGUGGUAUGCUGCUGAUGGAUGCUGGGUGGCUGGGAGGCUGAAGCUAACUAUGUUAUUAACCAGAAGUAAUUAUUCAGAGAACGCUGUGUUUAUGAGGUGUAUCAGAGAAGGAUUGUGUGUGUGUGUGUUUAUGGGCCCUAUAACCUUGGCAUAGGGUUUAAUGACAUGUUGUUCAUGCUGCUAUUGGUUAACGUUGGACUUCACCUCUCUACACAGCUCUUUUUCUAGGAUGGUAUCAGCAAAUUCAGGGGGGACUUGAAUCUAUCCAGAUCCAUGCGGUUGUUAGUCUUACACCCUAGCUGUGGGAAAUGUUAACACAGUAAUAUCAUAGUGAUAUAUCUCAUCUGAUGUGUGUAUGUGUGUGUGUGUGUGUGUGUGUGUGUGUGUGUGUGUGUGUGUGUGUGUGUGUGUGUGUGUGUGUGUGUGUGUGUGUGUGUGUGUGUGUGUGUGUGUGUGUGUGUGUGUGUGUGUGUGUGUGUGUGUGUGUG